rnacentral:rRNA from 1 species
AUUGAACGCUGGCGGCAGGCCUAACACAUGCAAGUCGAACGAGUGGCGGACGGGUGAGUAAUGUAUGGGAAACUGCCUGAUGGAGGGGGAUAACUACUGGAAACGGUAGCUAAUACCGCAUACCAUCAGAUGUGCCCAGAUGGGUUUAGCUAGUUGGUGGGGGAACGGCUCGCCAAAGCGACGAUCCCUAGCUGGGCUGAGAGGAUGACCAGCCACCCUGGAACGGAGCCACGGUCCAGACUCCUACGGGAGGCAGCAGUGGGGAAUAUUGCACAAUGGGCGCAAGCCUGAUGCAGCCAUGCCGCGUGUCUGAAGAAGGGCUUCGGGUUGUAAAGUAAUUUCAGCGGGGAGGCGUUACUCGCAGAAGAAGCACCGGCUAACUCCGUGCCAGCAGCCGCGGUAAUUC